UAGCUGCCGCCACGAAGGGCCUUCCCCCCGGGGGGGGGGGCCAGUAGGGAAUCUUCCACAAUGGGCGCAAGCCUGAUGGAGCAACACCGCGUGAGUGAAGAAGGGUUUCGGCUCGUAAAGCUCUGUUGUUGGAGAAGAACGUGCGUGAGAGUAACUGUUCACGCAGUGACGGUAUCCAACCAGAAAGUCACGGCUAACUACGUGCCAGCAGCCGCGGUAAUACGUAGGUGGCAAGCGUUAUCCGGAUUUAUUGGGCGUAAAGCGAGCGCAGGCGGUUGCUUAGGUCUGAUGUGAAAGCCUUCGGCUUAACCGAAGAAGUGCAUCGGAAACCGGGCGACUUGAGUGCAGAAGAGGACAGUGGAACUCCAUGUGUAGCGGUGGAAUGCGUAGAUAUAUGGAAGAACACCAGUGGCGAAGGCGGCUGUCUGGUCUGCAACUGACGCUGAGGCUCGAAAGCAUGGGUAGCGAACAGGAUUAGAUACCCUGGUAGUCCAUGCCGUAAACGAUGAGUGCUAGGUGUUGGAGGGUUUCCGCCCUUCAGUGCCGGAGCUAACGCAUAAGCACUCCGCCUGGAGACACCCGCACGG
rnacentral:rRNA from 2 species